rnacentral:tRNA from 1 species
AUUUAGGUAGCUUAAUUAAAGUUUAAUAUUGAAGAUAUUAAGAUAAGGAUAUCUUCCUAAAUA